rnacentral:rRNA from 1 species
AAACACCAUCAAACAUUUGUUUGGAUUUGAGCGUUGCCGAGAAAACUUAGCCCUUUUUUCGGCCUGCUCGAAAUGCAAGUACACAGGACAAGGAUCCCCAGACCCUCCGAGGUGUGAAUAAAAAAAAGCGUCGUAGUUGACUUGACAGUCUUCCUUUCGCUGAAAAUGAACAUCCGGUUUUUGGGACCUUUGCUGUGCAAAUUCGCAGGAAGAAAAGGAGCAUAACUCCUUUGUUCACUUCUUGAUCUGAAAUCAGGUAGGACUACCCGCUGAACUUAAGCAUAUCAAUAAGCGGAGGAAAAGAAACUAACAAGGAUUCCCCUAGUAACGGCGAGUGAAGCGGGAAGAGCUCAAAUUUAGAAUCUCACUGGUCUCCAGUGCGAGUUGUAGUUUAUAGAAGUGUUUUCGGUGGGCGCCUGGGUAUAAGUCCUUUGGAACAGGGCAUCAUAGAGGGUGAGAAUCCCGUCCAUGACCCAGAGUUGGCCACUAUGUGAUACAUUUUCGAAGAGUCAGGUUGUUUGGGAAUGCAGCCUAAAAUGGGUGGUAAAUGCCAUCUAAAGCUAAAUAUUGGCGAGAGACCGAUAGCGAACAAGUACCGUGAGGGAAAGAUGAAAAGAACUUUGAAAAGAGAGUUAAACAGUACGUGAAAUUGUUGAAAGGGAAACGUUUGAAACCAGCGAUGCUUGCGGGUGAUCACUUCUGGUGCUCUCACCCGUCGGCAAGUCAGCGUCAGUUUUGGUCGCCGGAAAAAGAAUCAAGGGAAUGUGGCUUCCUCCGGGGAGUGUUUAGCCCUGGUUUGUACGGUGGCUGGGACUGAGGUCUGCAGUCAAAUCCUGGAGGCACGGUUGCUGGGGGUAGAUCGGUGCUAGACAGCUUGCUGACUGGGGCUGAUUCUGUCUCCACACGGUCGGAGUCUCUCAAAUUGGCUUAGG